GUUCACACCUCGGCAGCACAAAUAAUAAAAUUAGAACAAUAUAGAGAUUAGCACGGCCCCUGCGCGAGAAAGACAUGCAGCUUUUUUUAAUGUUCUUCCUACUGUU